rnacentral:lncRNA from 1 species
GAAGCUUGAAAAUAGUCAUUGGAAUCAAUUUAGAUAUAUUUUAAAAAUUUUAAAAAACUAACUAUUAUUUUGUCAGAAUUCUGUGAGUUGGCUCAUCUAAGCUCUUAGUCGGCUAACCUUUAACAAUGAGUCGGCAAGGUAAAAAUUCUAAGAUGACUCCGCAACAGAUACUAAAAUUUCAUCAUUCUAUUUGUUUUAUCUGCGUA